UACGGGGGGGGUAAGCGUUGUUCGGAAUUACUGGGCGUAAAGGGCUCGUAGGCGGCCAACUAAGUCGGACGUGAAAUCCCUCAGCUUAACUGGGGAACUGCGUCCGAUACUGGAUGGCUUGGAUUUGGGAGAGGGAUGCGGAAUUCCAGGUGUAGCGGUGAAAUGCGUAGAUAGUCUGGAGGAACACCGGUGGCGAAGGCGGCAUCCUGGACCAAUAUUGACGCGUGAGACGCGAAAGCGUGGGGAGCAACAGG
rnacentral:rRNA from 1 species